GCUGAACUUAUUGUCAGACUUCAAUAAUCCAACAUCAAAUACGAAAGGAAAUGUGAUUGGAUAUAUAAGAGACUUAGGGCGUGUUUGAUUCGAAGUCGGGAAUCAGAAUCAGAAUCGGAAUCGAAAUAAGCUGGAAUUGGAAUCGGAAUGACUCAUUGCCUAAUUCUGUUUGGUUCAUCACCUGAAUCGGAAUCGGAAUAAAUCAUUCUCAUUGUCGGUGUUUGGUUCAAGUAAUAUAAAAAACGUAAUCAGAUUAAUAUACUAACUUUAUCUUUAUAAUAUAUUAAUUUAAAUUCAAAUUAAAAAUUAAAUAUUAAAAAUUUACAUUAAAAUUUUGAAAUAAUGUUAAAAUUUUAAAUCUAUUUUUUUAAAAAUAUAAACUUUGAAGUUGAGUGGAUAAUUCAAAAUAUAAAAAUACAUUUCAAAUUCAAACUGAAAAUUACAAUUUAAAUUUUAAUUUGAAUCCAUAAAUUUAAUUUAAGUUUUAAAUAAAAUUUGAAUAAAACUUUAUAUAUAUUAAAAUUUAAUUUAAAUUCAAAUUCAUAAGUUAGAUUCGAAAUACUUGAUUAAAUUUUAAUUUUUAAUUCAAGUUUAAAUUAAAUUUUAAAAAUAAAAAUUUAAUUUUUAAAUUUAAACUCAUAUUUUAAUUAAAAAAGUUAAAAAAAAUACACCUACAAAGGGAUUCGCUCAUUCCGAUUCCGAUUCCAGCACUACAAGAAAAGGUAGUAUUGGUGGCAAAGAUAAGAUGGUAACAAAAUUUAUCGCCACUAUAUAGUUACCUAUAGUGGCGAUAAAAAAAGUUGCCACUGAUUAAUUAAUUUAAAGUGGCGAUCCUAAUUUUACCACUAAAUGACUAUUUUGUUGCCACGCCACUAUUUUCUUAUCUAUGAUGGCGAUAAAAAAAAUUUCUACCGAUUAAUUAACUUAAAA
rnacentral:lncRNA from 1 species